rnacentral:rRNA from 1 species
UCAUACAAGAAACCCAAAUUAAUAGCCAUCCGGCGUAAAGAGUGGCCACAUGUUAUCCGCAUUAACUAAGAUCAAAACGAAACUGAGCUGUCAUAAGCCCAAGACUCACCUAAGCCCGACCUAAAAACCAUCUUAGUUCCCACGACCAAUUUAAACCCACGAAAGCCAGGACACAAACUGGGAUUAGAUACCCCACUAUGCCUGGCCUUAAAUCUUGAUAUCCCAUUACCAAUAUAUCCGCCCGAGAACUACGAGCACAAACGCUUAAAACUCUAAGGACUUGGCGGUGCCCCAAACCCACCUAGAGGAGCCUGUUCUAUAAUCGAUAAUCCACGAUUCACCCAACCAUCCUUUGCCAACACAGCCUACAUACCGCCGUCGCCAGCUCACCUCCAAUGAAAGAGCAACAGUGAGCCCAACAGUCUCCACUAAUAAGACAGGUCAAGGUAUAGCCCAUGGGAUGGAAGAAAUGGGCUACAUUUUCUAACAUAGAACAAACGGAAAAGGACAUGAAAACCGGUCCUAAGAAGGAGGAUUUAGCAGUAAGAUGAGAUCAUCCCCAGCUCACCUUAAGACGGCCCUGGGGCACGUACAUACCGCCCGUCACCCUCUUCAAUAAGCCACUAACACCAAUAAAUAAUACCCACCCCGGCUAAAGACGAGGUAAGUCGUAACAA